UAAAGUGAGUUUGCUCAUUUACGCUGAGAGUUUCCUUUUUAGGCGCUUUAU
rnacentral:tRNA from 2 species